rnacentral:lncRNA from 1 species
CGCAGCAGCUGGGGACACUGCUGCUGUUGGCUCGCUUCUCCUGCUAGUGGCUGUGGUGUCUUCAGAGCUGGGAUUUUAGUGUUUACUUCCGUGCGCUGACUCCUGCUCUGCCUUUUGUCUGCUGGAACUAAAGGGCCUGGAAGAUGAGAGGCUGCUGCCUGUGGGAGUGUUUGCAGGUUGCAGCCGGAGUCAUCUUCUAACCUGUUUGUGGAGAAGCGCAGCUACAGAUCCAGCAGGCACUAGCAGAAAUCGGGAGAGCUUUUUGAGCUGUUUUUUCACCUCUUCCAUAUGAGGGCAUCAGACCUGCAUGCCCCUCAUGUCCUAUGCAGAGCUGCUUUGAAAGCCCAUAGGAGCUCAUUUUUAGUUGGUUUCUAUCAUGAUCCGCAUCUUCUGAAAAUCAGGGAGAUGAGUUGCUCAAAGGGACCUCGGAUCUGCUUUCAUGGUCAUGUGAUUGGUUCACAGCCAUUUGCACCUCACUGCUAAAUGUUCUUACAGCCUGUCUGUAAAAUCUUCGGCUCUGUGUAGCUGAACCUUCUCCAAGAUCCCUGGUUCCCAGGUGAGGCUUUGCACUCCUUGCAUCUCUUGCAUACCAGUAUGAGCCUACAGAGCUUUGCAUGAAAUCCAAAACCUUUUUUUUUCCCUUUUUUCUUUUUUCUAAUGCAGCUUAGUAUUUCCUGCAUAUGGGUCUGCCUGGUGUCUUCCAAGGCAGGAAGUUUCCAGAGGUAUUUCUCAGCUAAUUACAUUAAGUGGUUCGAAGUGAGAUCCCUCAGUGCUUGCUUGGUUGCUUGUGAAGCCACAGAAGUUAAAGAACUUCCCCAUGGCUCUGCAUUCAGCCUGCCUUGCUGAUUCUCAUUGCAGCAUCUCAGUAGUACUGCUUGUGUUCUGCCUUUCCACGGUCUGCUUUUAGAGCCAGCUGCUGAAGCACAUACCUUUAGUUUGAGCUCCUGCCAUUGCCUCUGGAUAGUGCCCUGAGCUGGGGUGAGAUGGGGCAGGCUGUCCUCCUGCUCUCAGGGUUUGACAUCAGCAUGAGUUGUCCCUUGCUUUGUGCCCCACGAUUACAGCUGCUUCCUGGCCCCUGGUUGUUUCGUAGGCUGUGUUGUUAGCUUGUCCCCACAGUGUCUCAGGAUGAAUUCACCUGUUUUUCUGACCCCCUGGGGGCAUUUGUUAGAGCUACCACUGGGUCAGUGCAUAGUGACAGCAUAUGUUUCUGGGAGGGAGAUGGUGUGCGCUUCCAUUGGAGCCCGUGUGAAAGCUGUUCUAGAAGGGAGGUGUUUUGGGAGGCAGGUGACAAAGGCUCACGCCUGGUUUGAUGUUUCAGCUAAGCUGAUAUCACGGUGAGCCAUCACUGAACAGGCGGGUCCUACCCUUCCUGUCUCAGGUUGCUCAGAGCUUAUCUGCAAUUCUGAGCCUCUUUGAGAUGUCAGAUCAACAAGAAGUAAUUUCCUUUCGGAUAGGCUUAGUUUUGUGCUGGUGGGACACAUUGAGGUGGCUCACUAGGGUAAAUCUGCCCCUUGGGUGGCAGCUCCUUUGAACUCAGUGGUGAGGAAAGGAGGAGAGAUCCCCACCAGGAAGGGGUUGAUGUUCUUGCUUUAUUUCCAAGGGGAUUUCUUAGUGUGGGAUGUAAUGCAGGUCUCAGCCAAAGCCUGGGCGGUGCUGGUCCCUCAACAGCUCAUCCCCAGCACACAGGGUCACGAGCCUGCUCUGCCUUCUCCAUCCCUGCCUGCCCUCAGCCCUCCAUCUGGCUUGUUUUAAAGGUCUGGCUUGCGCCUGGUGUUCGAGAUAAUCCUUGUAACUAGUUGGGUCUGAUCCAUGCUAGAUGAUGUUAUUGGCAGCACUGAGGCUGACACCCCGCUGCUCCGCUUCUCCUCGGACUCCUUGCCUUCCUCCUGCUAGCUGGGCCAGCAGCAAUCCUGCUGCCUCCCUGGCUGCUGUCUGGAGAGCAUAUUGAGGUUCUGCUCAGAAGCCUGCUGCCUGCCUCAACCAGGACAGUGAAUGUGCCAGCACUGCCAGCAGUGCAGGCAGGUGUAGAGCCCUUCUGCCUCUUUCCAGCUGCUUCCGACAGCCCCCGAGCUUCUGUCCUACCCAGCAGGGUAUCCCAGUGUGUGUGCAAAGAGGAUGGUGGGAAGGGCCUGGAACAGAUCUGUACAGCCAGGAUUGGAGUGGAGAAGAGGCACAGGGAAAAACUAUUUGCUUGUCUGGCCCAAGAACUGAGGCAUCAAGUGAACGCAGGAAGUGUUGGGUUUAAAGACAAAUUGAGGAGGACAGCUUGUUGCACAGCAUGUGUUUCUGCUCUGCCACAGGCAGUUAUGAGUACUAAAAGGCUGCGAUCAAAGACUGCAUUGGUUUCUAAAGGGAGUUUGAUAGAUUCUGGAAGGAAAAUCAUUGGAUGGAUAUAAAGAUGAAAACAGAGAACGGUUAAAUGCAAGGACAUCUCUGGCACAAGAAGUCCCUGAGUUAUUCAUAGCUCAUGCAGUGACUCUGUCCUGGGAGAUAUGACUGUCAAGUGAUCCUG